GAUAGAUCUAUAAUAGCUCAUUUUAUAGGGUAUCUAAAAGAAUCAAUGGGAUACUACUACUUUUCAUAAGAUUACAAUAUGAUUGUGAGUCUGAAUGUCAUAUUUUUAGAAAAAUAGUUUAUCCAGGAUGGUGGCAGUGGAAGGUUAGUUGAGCUUGAAGAGAAGGUCUCUGAAGAGCAAAGAGCUAUAGAUCCUUAGGAAUCCAUUAUUCAUGAGCCAGU
rnacentral:lncRNA from 1 species